rnacentral:misc_RNA from 1 species
UUAAGUUCAGCGGGUAUUCCUACCUGAUCCGAGGUCAACCUUUGGUAAUUUGAGGUGUUUAACGGCCAGGAAACCCGCCGGGACAGGCCGAACGAAGAAUAAUUACUGCGCUCAGUGUCCGACGAGCCCGCCGAUAGACUUGAGGGCCCCGCGCGCGCUGGCGCGGGCGCCCCAACACCAAGCCAUUAAGGCUUGAGGGU